UACGGAGGAUGCAAGCGUUAUCCGGAAUUAUUGGGCGUAAAGCGUCCGCAGGUGGCUGUGUAAGUCUGCUGUUAAAGAGUGAGGCUCAACCUCAUAAAGGCAGUGGAAACUACAUGGCUAGAGUGCGUUCGGGGCAGAGGGAAUUCCUGGUGUAGCGGUGAAAUGCGUAGAGAUCAGGAAGAACACCGGUGGCGAAGGCGGUCUGCUAGGCCGCAACUGACACUGAGGGACGAAAGCGUGGGGAGCAAACAGG
rnacentral:rRNA from 1 species